rnacentral:rRNA from 1 species
UACGGAGGAGGCAAGCGUUAUCCGGAAUUAUUGGGCGUAAAGCGUCCGUAGGUGGUUUAGUAAGUCUGCUGUUAAAGCGCGGGGCUUAACUCCGUAUCGGCAGUGGAAACUACUAGACUAGAGUGUGGUAGGGGUAGAGGGAAUUCCCAGUGUAGCGGUGAAAUGCGUAGAUAUCAGGAGGAAUACCGAUGGCGAAGGCAGGUCUCUGGGCUGACACUGACGCUCAUGCACGAAAGCGUGGGGAGCAAACAGG